ensembl:snRNA U6 U6 spliceosomal RNA
UUGCUUUGGCAGCACACAUACUAAAAUUGGAACAAUACAGAGAUUAGCAUGGCUCCUACGCAACAUGCAAAUUUAUGAAGUGUUUCAUAUUAAA